ACGGAAGGCAGCAGUGGGGAAUAUUGGACAAUGGGGGAAACCCUGAUCCAGCGACGCCGCGUGAGUGAAGAAGUAUUUCGGUAUGUGAAGCUCUAUCAGCAGGGAAGAUGAUGACGGUACCUGACUAAGAAGCUCCGGCUAACUACGUGCCAGCAGCCGCGGUAAUACGUAGGGAGCAAGCGUUAUCCGGAUUUACUGGGUGUAAAGGGCGUGUAGGCGGGACAUCAAGUCAGAUGUGAAAGCACGAGGCUCAACUUCGUGUCUGCAUUUGAAACUGACGUUCUUGAGUGUUGGAGAGGCUAACGGAACUCCUAGUGUAGCGGUGAAAUGCGUAGAUAUUAGGAAGAACACCAGUGGCGAAGGCGGUUAGCUGGACAAUAACUGACGCUGAGGCGCGAAAGCGUGGGUAGCAAACAGGAUUAGAUACCCUGGUA
rnacentral:rRNA from 1 species